rnacentral:lncRNA from 1 species
GAGAGUAGGCGCUAUACUUUCAACAUCAUCAGCUACGGCUCUAUCGGGAUCCAUUACUAUUGCAGUAUAUAUAAAAAAGGCAUGUAUAGCUAGACUCACACGCACUAUGUUAGUCCUAGAAUCGACUAAAUUGUAGCUCUGAUACCAAUCAAAUGUAACACCCCUAACUCGUAUCCGUCGCCGAAUUGGGGUUACGAGGCAUUACCGAAUGAGAG